UUUCCGUAGGUGAACCUGCGGAAGGAUCAUUAAAGUUAUAGUCCCCCGGCCCUCUGGGCUGGGGUCUUCUAUACCACCCUUUGUUUAUUACACCUUUGUUGCUUUGGCAGGCCUGCCCUCGGGCUGCUGGCUCCGGCCGGCUCGCGCCUGCCAGAGGACCUAAACUCUGUUUGUAUAUGAAGUCUGAGUACUAUAUAAUAGUUAAAACUUUCAACAACGGAUCUCUUGGUUCUG
rnacentral:misc_RNA from 1 species